rnacentral:rRNA from 1 species
UACGGAGGGUGCGAGCGUUGUCCGGAAUCACUGGGCGUAAAGGGCGCGUAGGCGGCGCGGAUAGUCGGCGGUGAAAGCCCGGAGCUCAACUCCGGGUCGGCCGUCGAUACUUCCGGGCUUGAGCACUGUAGAGGCAGAUGGAAUUCCGGGUGUAAGCGGUGGAAUGCGUAGAGAUCCGGAAGACACCGGUGGCGAAGGCGGUCUGCUGGCAGUUGCUGACGCUGAUGCGCGACAGCGUGGGAGCAAACGAGG